rnacentral:rRNA from 1 species
GUCGAACGGCAGCACAGUAAGAGCUUGCUCUUACGGGUGGCGAGUGGCGGACGGGUGAGGAAUACAUCGGAAUCUACCUUUUCGUGGGGGAUAACGUAGGGAAACUUACGCUAAUACCGCAUACGACCUUCGGGUGAAAGCAGGGGACCUUCGGGCCUUGCGCGGAUAGAUGAGCCGAUGUCGGAUUAGCUAGUUGGCGGGGUAAAGGCCCACCAAGGCGACGAUCCGUAGCUGGUCUGAGAGGAUGAUCAGCCACACUGGAACUGAGACACGGUCCAGACUCCUACGGGAGGCAGCAGUGGGGAAUAUUGGACAAUGGGCGCAAGCCUGAUCCAGCCAUACCGCGUGGGUGAAGAAGGCCUUCGGGUUGUAAAGCCCUUUUGUUGGGAAAGAAAAGCAAUCGAUUAAUACUCGGUUGUUCUGACGGUACCCAAAGAAUAAGCACCGGCUAACUUCGUGCCAGCAGCCGCGGUAAUACGAAGGGUGCAAGCGUUACUCGGAAUUACUGGGCGUAAAGCGUGCGUAGGUGGUUGUUUAAGUCUGUUGUGAAAGCCCUGGGCUCAACCUGGGAAUUGCAGUGGAUACUGGGCAACUAGAGUGUGGUAGAGGGUAGUGGAAUUCCCGGUGUAGCAGUGAAAUGCGUAGAGAUCGGGAGGAACAUCCAUGGCGAAGGCAGCUACCUGGACCAACACUGACACUGAGGCACGAAAAGCGUGGGGAGCAAA